rnacentral:rRNA from 1 species
GACGAACGCUGGCGGCGUGCUUAACACAUGCAAGUCGAGCGGGAUCCAACCGGUGGCAACACCGGGGAAGAUCUAGCGGCGAACGGGUGAGUAACACGUGAGCAACCUGCCCCGAAGACUGGGAUAACACCGGGAAACCGGUGCUAAUACCGGAUGUCGUCAUUAGGCCGCAUGACCUGAUGAUGAAAGGAUUCAUCGCUUCGGGAGGGGCUCGCGGGCUAUCAGCUUGGGUGGGGUAACGGCCUACCAAGGCGACGACGGGUAGCCGGCCUGAGAGGGCGACCGGCCACACUGGGACUGAGACACGGCCCAGACUCCUACGGGAGGCAGCAGUGGGGAAUCUUGCGCAAUGGGCGAAAGCCUGACGCAGCGACGCCGCGUGAGGGAUGACGGCCUGGUUGUAAC